UACAGAGGGGGCCAGCGUUAUUCGGAAUUAUUGGGCGUAAAGGGCGCGUAGGCGGCCAUGCGUGUCUUCCGUGAAAUCCCUCGGCUCAACCGAGGACGUGCGGAAGAAACUGCAAGGCUCGAGUCCGGAAGAGGGGGGCGGAAUUCCCAGUGUAGCGGUGAAGUGCGUAGAUAUUGGGAGGAACACCAGUGGCGAAGGCGGUCCCCUGGGCCGGAACUGACGCUGAGGCGCGAAAGCGUGGGUAGCAAACGGG
rnacentral:rRNA from 1 species